UGUCUAAGAGAACACAGAAGUUUCCUCUAUAUGCAAGAAUCAGUAAAGUACAAUAUGACAAAUAUAAUGAAGAACAAGAUGAGAGAUCAAUUGGAUACACAAUCAGAUGAAGUAGAAUUUACUGACUUGUAAAGAAGCUUCUUUGGAGGGCCAAACCACAACACUAUGGAACAAAACAACUAUGCUUGGGUUUAAUUCGGAACAAAACCUUACUCUUUGUUUUGUAAGUUUUAUUAAAAGAGAUAAAAGAAUUGCUAUACUUAAAUUAAUGGUUCAAUGGAUAUCUCAUCUCUUGAUUAAGUUUAUGGUAAGAACAUUACCAUCAAUUGUAAUGCCUGAAAAGGUUGUGGGAACUUCAGGAAACCAAGAUCUGACUACACAUCAUCAGAGUGCUUCAGAUCAGAACCUCAGUAUCUGAUUGUGGAACAGCUCCAUGAACAGAGACUGUGAGCAACCCUUCCUAGACUAGUUGAGAGCUUGUGGGGCAGAACACUCAUUUGGAUAAUAAAAUAAUAUCACCAUCAGGUCUUAAAUAGAAGUCUCCAACAUCAGAGUCUUCACCAUCACAGUCCUUGCUAUUAAAUUGUUGUGAUCUGUUUGGUGUUUUCCUGAAUGCAUAAAAUCUUUUUGUCCUCAAGAACUAGUAUGGUCUUGAUGAUAUGAUUAAUUUGACAACAUUUCCAGAUUUCUUAAAAAAAACCCCAAAACAACUGGAUUAUCUUUAGGCUAGUU